UUGAACGCUGGCGGCAGGCCUAACACAUGCAAGUCGAACGGUAACAGGAAGCAGCUUGCUGCUUCGCUGACGAGUGGCGGACGGGUGAGUAAUGUCUGGGAAACUGCCUGAUGGAGGGGGAUAACUACUGGAAACGGUAGCUAAUACCGCAUAAUGUCGCAAGACCAAAGAGGGGGACCUUCGGGCCUCUUGCCAUCGGAUGUGCCCAGAUGGGAUUAGCUUGUUGGUGGGGUAACGGCUCACCAAGGCGACGAUCCCUAGCUGGUCUGAGAGGAUGACCAGCCACACUGGAACUGAGACACGGUCCAGACUCCUACGGGAGGCAGCAGUGGGGAAUAUUGCACAAUGGGCGCAAGCCUGAUGCAGCCAUGCCGCGUGUAUGAAGAAGGCCUUCGGGUUGUAAAGUACUUUCAGCGGGGAGGAAGGGAGUAAAGUUAAUACCUUUGCUCAUUGACGUUACCCGCAGAAGAAGCACCGGCUAACUCCGUGCCAGUAGCCGCGGUAAUACGGAGGGUGCAAGCGUUAAUCGGAAUUACUGGGCGUAAAGCGCACGCAGGCGGUUUGUUAAGUCAGAUGUGAAAUCCCCGGGCUCAACCUGGGAACUGCAUCUGAUACUGGCAAGCUUGAGUCUCGUAGAGGGGGGUAGAAUUCCAGGUGUAGCGGUGAAAUGCGUAGAGAUCUGGAGGAAUACCGGUGGCGAAGGCGGCCCCCUGGACGAAGACUGACGCUCAGGUGCGAAAGCGUGGGGAGCAAACAGGAUUAGAUACCCUGGUAGUCCACGCCGUAAACGAUGUCGACUUGGAGGUUGUGCCCUUGAGGCGUGGCUUCCGGAGCUAACGCGUUAAGUCGACCGCCUGGGGAGUACGGCCGCAAGGUUAAAACUCAAAUGAAUUGACGGGGGCCCGCACAAGCGGUGGAGCAUGUGGUUUAAUUCGAUGCAACGCGAAGAACCUUACCUGGUCUUGACAUCCACGGAAGUUUUCAGAGAUGAGAAUGUGCCUUCGGGAACCGUGAGACAGGUGCUGCAUGGCUGUCGUCAGCUCGUGUUGUGAAAUGUUGGGUUAAGUCCCGCAACGAGCGCAACCCUUAUCCUUUGUUGCCAGCGGUCCGGCCGGGAACUCAAAGGAGACUGCCAGUGAUAAACUGGAGGAAGGUGGGGAUGACGUCAAGUCAUCAUGGCCCUUACGACCAGGGCUACACACGUGCUACAAUGGCGCAUACAAAGAGAAGCGACCUCGCGAGAGCAAGCGGACCUCAUAAAGUGCGUCGUAGUCCGGAUUGGAGUCUGCAACUCGACUCCAUGAAGUCGGAAUCGCUAGUAAUCGUGGAUCAGAAUGCCACGGUGAAUACGUUCCCGGGCCUUGUACACACCGCCCGUCACACCAUGGGAGUGGGUUGCAAAAGAAGUAGGUAGCUUAACCUUCGGGAGGGCGCUUACCACUUUGUGAUUCAUGACUGGGGUG
rnacentral:rRNA from 1 species